rnacentral:rRNA from 1 species
UACGCAGGCGGCCAUCCAAGUCGGGUGUGAAAGCCCGGGGCUCAACCCCGGAAAUGCGCCCGAGACUGAAUGGCUUGAGUGCGGGAGAGGGAAGCGGAAUUCCUGGUGUAGAGGUGAAAUUCGUAGAUAUCAGGAGGAACACCGGUGGCGAAAGCGGCUUCCUGGCCCGACACUGACGCUCAUGUACGAAAGCGUGGGGAAGCAAACA